AUGCCAAACAACACUCCUGGUCCCAAUUCAAAUGCUGCAAACAACUCUUCAUCUAAGCAGGAUCAGUCCCAAUACUCUACUUCCAAAUUACAAACAAUGGCCAUGGUAGUCACCAUAAGCCAACUUUAUGCUUACAUUCAAGAGUAUUCCUUGCCAUCUCAGCUAGAAUCCCAAGCCUGGUCCGCUGACUCAAGUGCAUCUCAUCACAUUACCCCAUGUGAAUCUCAUUUAUAG